GCUUGUUACACAAAAUACAUAUCUAUACGCAGCGAAAUUGUGUAUGAUUAAACUAAAGAUAAAUAUUGUUGAAUUCAAUAAUCGCUUGGUUGUUGAUUCAAAAAGAUUUUAUUGUUGUUUCUACUGAAAAACCUGAUAGAAAUAACAAUAUUAUUUUAAUUUCAACAAUAUUUCUUUUUGUUCCAAAAGUGCUUAAAUGUCAAGCAGUGUGUUCUUUUUUAUGUGUAAAAAUAUCAUAACAAUGAAAAAUAUAUUUUGUGAAACUAGGUAUUUUGCUGUUUCCUUAAACUAAUUCAAAAGGUGGAACCAUUCAUUUCUGGAGUAUUCCGGGACGUUAUAGACUUUAAUAUAUCUAUAUAUAGAACGGUAUGGCAAGCACUGGUGAAACUUUCAUUGUUAGCAGGGUUUGCUUGCUUCCACCUUCAACAAAUGAGCAAGAAAUAUGGGAAACUUAGAGCUUGCUCUCAUUCAGCAUUGCGGUUGGAAGCAGAUUUUAUAAUAAUGAUAAGUAUUAAGUGAAUAUAAUAGGGUAAUUGAGAAAUAAAAUAUAAACCGUA